UCCGGGCACACCCGUUCCCAUCCCGAACACGGUAGUUAAGCUUCUCUGCGCCAAUGGUAGUUGGGGGCUUCCCCCUGCGAGAGUAGGUCGCUGCCGGGC
rnacentral:rRNA from 1 species